AACGAACGCUGGCGGCAUGCCUAACACAUGCCAGUCGAACGAGACCUUCGGGUCUAUUGGCGCACGGGUGCGUAACGCGUGGGAACCUGCCCUUAGGUUCGGAAUAACUCCCCGAAAGGGGUGCUAAUACCGGAUAAUCUCUUCGGACCAAAGAUUUAUCGCCUUUGGAUGGGCCCGGGUUGGAUUAGCUAGUUGGUAGGGUAAAAGCCUACCAAGGCGACGAUCCAUAGCUGGUCUGAGAGGAUGAUCAGCCACACUGGGACUGAGACACGGCCCAGAAUCCUACGGGAGGCAGCAGUGGGGAAUAUUGGACAAUGAGCGAAAGCCUGAUCCAGCAAUGCCGCGUGAGUGAUGAAGGCCUUAGGGUUGUAAAGCUCUUUUACCCGGGAUGAUAAUGACAGUACCGGGAGAAUAAGCUCCGGCUAACUACGUG
rnacentral:rRNA from 1 species